rnacentral:sRNA from 15 species
CAACUCUUUAAUAAAUAAUGAAAAAUAUGUGCAAAUGAGAAUAACAACUGCGGUUUUCUCUUAAAGUAGUAAGAAAAAGCUACGACACAAUACAGCUAUCCAUCAAAAGUGAACCCCACCCGUUACACUUAUCACACCUGUAGUAUUGUGCUUGUGCACUAUGUACUCCUGCGGGCCUUGUAAAUUCCCUACCACACCCACGACACACUCCU